rnacentral:rRNA from 1 species
AAUAGGGAUAGUUGGGGGCAUUAGUAUUUAAUUGUCAGAGGUGGAAUUCUCAGAUUUGUUAAAGACUAACUUAUGCGAAAGCAUUUGCCAAGGAUGUUUUCAUUAAUCAAGAACGAAAGU